rnacentral:rRNA from 1 species
GUGCCAGCCGCCGCGGUAAUACCGGCAGCUCAAGUGAUGUCCCAUAUUAUUGGGCCUAAAGCGUCCGUAGCUGGCCGACCAAGUCUCCCGGGAAAUCCACCCGCCCAACGGGUGGGCGUCCGGUAGAAACUGGCCGGCUUGGAACCGGAAGGCUCAGAGAGUACGUCCGGGGUAGGAGUGAAAUCCCGUAAUCCCGGACGGACUACCGAUGGCGAAAGCACUCUGAGAAGACGGCUUCGACAGUGAGGGACGAAAGCUCGGGUCUCAAACCGGAUUAGAAACCCGAGUAGUCC